CCCUUAGAUGUCCGGGGCCGCACGCGCGCUACACUGAAGGAAUCAGCGUGGCUUUCUCCCUGACCCGAAAGGGUUGGGAAACCCGUUGAAUCUCCUUCGUGAUAGGGAUUGGGGCUUGAAAUUGUUCCCCAUGAACGAGGAAUUCCCAGUAAGCGCGAGUCAUAAGCUCGCGUUGAUUACGUCCCUGCCCUUUGAACACACCGCCCGUCGCUACUACCGAUUGAACGGUUUAGUGAGGGCCUCGGAUUGGUCUCGGCCCGCUCUUUACCGGGCGGCGCCGUUGGUCGAGAAGACGCUCGAACUUGAUCGUUUAGAGGAAGUAAAAGUCGUAACA
rnacentral:rRNA from 1 species